CGAAUCGCCCUUCGGGGUGCACCAGGCGCGAAAACUCUACAAUGCAGGCAACUGCGAUAGGGGAACAUCGAGUGAUCCUCAUAUUGGGGGUCUGUCCACCCGCCUAAAAAGCGGGUGUUAGCAAGGGCCGGGCAAGACCGGUGCCAGCCGCCGCGGUAAUACCGGCGGCUCGAGUGGUGGCCGAUAUUAUUGAGUCUAAAGGGUCCGUAGCCGGCUUUGCAAGUCUCUCGGGAAAUCCAGCGGCUUAACCGUUGGUCGUCCGGGGGGUACUACAUUGCUUGGGACUGGGAGAGGUAGGAGGUACUCAGGGGGUAGGAGUGAAAUCCUGUAAUCCUUUGGGGACCACCGGUGGCGAAGGCGUCCUACCAGAACAGGUCCGACGGUGAGGGACGAAAGCUAGGGGCACGAACCGGAUUAGAUACCCGGGUAGUCCUAGCCGUAAACGAUGCUCGCUAGGUGUCACAACAGUCGUGAACUGCUGUGGUGCCGUAGGGAAGCCGUGAAGCGAGCCACUUGGGAAGUACGACCGCAAGGUUGAAACUUAAAGGAAUUGGCGGGGGAGCAC
rnacentral:rRNA from 1 species